UCAUCUAUGCAAUGGGAAUAACAACUUCAGAUUUUGGUAAGGAUUCAGAGACUUCAGGGACUGCAGAGAACAAAGCCUGGGACCACGUCACACCCAUACUCACAGGUCGCUGCAAAGAUCUUAUCACUUCAUAGGGCUCCUCGGGUUGUUAUGGCAACCCUGAAGGGUAGUCAGGACAUCUCGUUCCCAGUUCACAAAUGAGAAAGUAAAGCGUACAGAGGUGGCUCAGAGAGAACGUGCUGGGGCUGCAGCUUCUUCAUGACGUCCCAGUGACUGGAGCCCUGCACCACAGUCUGCAGGAAAUGCCUCUAAACCCCAGUCAUUAACAGACCUGGGACAUAUAUUCCUUUCUCUCAAAAUUAAGUCCUAAGAUCCUUAGCCUUCGUCCUGACUUAAAACAUUAUCCCCUGCUGACAGCGCAAGACAAAGUCUGACCCUCCAAAGCAAACUGGAUGCAUCAGUGAGAAGGGGUGAAACAAUGGCUAGCCAGAUGCCUUCCAUGUCAAAGCCACUUUCUAGCUUCAUCAAGCAGGGUCUCCCAGGUGCCUCUGCUUACGUACAUGAAGAAAGAUAGCUUCUGGAUGACUGGCUUGAGAAGAUGAAAAUGGAUCCCAGGAUCAGACGCUUUACUGGAAAGAAGACCUAGGAAUCAUUCUGGUUUGAUGUCUGCAUUGCAUAUACAAGUUGGAAAACUAGAGUAUGCAAGUUCUCCGAACAUAUUAAAGGCAGAGGAGGGACGUGGCUCCAACUCCCCUCAGCCUCAGGGUUUUUUUUCCUGAUACGUGAUGCUAUCUCUCAAACGUGGAUUGUUACUUUCACCUUAAAACCAAUGCCAGGUUUUGUAUUCAUGUCUAUACUCUCACAAGAAAUUUACACUACAUUUUUUUUUUUUAGCAAAUAGGCAGGAUAUUCAUUUCUAUGAUAGAUAAUCCAAUAUCAUUCCCACUUCACUUGUCAGAACAUAAAAUGCAACAGACAUGUUGCUGUAUUUUCCCCUUUUGAGCAUUAAAGCUGUUGGAGAGUCAUAUUUUCCAUGAGUAAAGUUAGAAAAAUUUAGGCUAUAGCCAGUCCAAAAAUAUGCCUCAGUUCUGAAAAAGAAAAAAAUCAUGUCAGACAAUAGUAAAUAUAAUAUUGGAUCAAUUCAAUUCAUUUAAAUCCACAUAUUCUGGAUGUAUCCCAAAAUAAGCCUCUUAGUAAUUUGUCUUCCCUGAGUUGUUCUCCAUAAAACUGAUUACUGUGCUGUGCUUUUCUCUAGAUGAAUAUUUAUGUCUGAUACAUAUUUUGGUUUCUUGCAUUAUUUUUCUUAGGUUCUCAGCUAAACGUUCCAAAUAAUAUAGUCAUUAUUAGAAAAACAAUAAAAUCUUUAUAUAUUGGCAUUCUUCCUCUAGGUUAGUGGCUUAUAAAUAAUUAUGUUGGUUUAAUACCUAUUUACCAAUUCUCUUAAUUUCCUAAGAUGCCUGUCAUCCUGAUAUGCUUAUUUGUGUAUUUUCAAAUGGGUCUCUGUCUCUGGCUAGAUCAAUAAACUGUUGUCACAAAGACAUCUCUGCUUCCUUAUUGUCUGAGACACUUCAAUAUCUUCCCCAUCAAGGAUAAAUUUAAAUUGUAAAUUGUAUAGAUCUUUAUCACUGCCAUUUUAGUCUUCCAAUUUGUAUUUUUCCUGAUUCACUAAUGGGCACAACACAACAAAAUUUAUUAUGUGUGUAUCAUCCUUUUUCAGUUUAUUAACUAUUUGGAAAAGUCCUUGUUUCCUUUAAAGAAUUCCUUUCCCUCUGUUAGGAUGACUCACUAUA